rnacentral:rRNA from 1 species
UUAGGAAUCUUCCACAAUGGGCGAAAGCCUGAUGGAGCGACGCCGCGUGAGGGAUGAAGGCCUUAGGGUUGUAAACCUCUAAAAGAGGGACGAUAAUGACGGUACCUCUUGAAUAGCACCGGCUAACUCCGUGCCAGCAGCCGCGGUAAUACGGAGGGUGCAAGCGUUAUCCGGAAUCACUGGGCGUAAAGGGCGCGUAGGCGGUCUGUUAAGUCCGAUGUUAAAUCCCGGGGCUCAACCCCGGAUAAGCGUUGGAUACUGGCAGGCUAGACGGUUGGAGAGGCGAGUGGAAUUACCAGUGUAGCGGUGGAAUGCGUAGAUACUGGUAGGAACACCCAUUGCGAAGGCAGUUCGCUGGACAACACGUGACGCUGAGGCGCGAAAGUGUGGGGAGCAAACC